AACGCAUAUGGCACCUUGCAGCUUGCUGGAAGGUAUGCCUGUUUGAGAAUCAUACACACCUGUGCAUAUUUGAUAUGUUAUAUGUGCGAGUUGGGCCUUCACCAGUGAUCGCCUGCAACCUGCCUGUCGGCGUGUCAGUGACGCAAGUCUACCGCGCAGACAACGUUCUAUAAAUGAUCUCAAAUCAGGCAAGACUACCCGCCGAACUUAA
rnacentral:misc_RNA from 1 species